CGAGGGGAAAAAGAGCAGCGAGGGAAGCAGAGGUUCCAGGGGUGACGGUAUUUCUCCUCUCAACCGGCCGCGUUGCCUUCACAGCAGGCUGCCUGCUUGCGGGCUGCAGCAGGGAUGCACUCGACAGACUAAAACUGCAAAACCUCCUGACUUCAGUGGAAGAUCAGUCUGCUCCCUCGGGAGAUCUGCUAUACUGACACUUUAGUUUUGGAGAGUUUCUGAGGCCCCUUGCCUGUGGAGCCAGCCACCAGUGUGGGGCACAGCGGGCCCACCCCCAAAUGGAUGAAUGAGACUGGACGAAGCCAUGCAGACCAUGUUGUCCCUUUUGCUCCUUGCAGGCCUCAUGGUCAGAGGGAUAUGUUUAGGGCCCUCCACAGUGAACCUGAAGACAAGGAUAUCAGAAGACAAAUAGACCUCCAGGUUCCUUAGGAUGUGUCUCAAUGGGCAGGUGAGGGCAGACCCAAAUUAAUUGCACCCACACCACAUCACUCAGGUGCAAGGCACUUCUAGCCCAGAAGCUGUGUGACUCUGCAGGCAGCACUGUGCCAACAUGGGGCAAAACCUGCAGUUUGGCUCAAUACCCACCUGGCGUUGGAUGCAAACAAACCUGUGAGUCCUACACCAAGUCUACAUCUUGGCCUGCCUUCUUCAGUUCACUCCGUUGGUACAGCUGGGCUCUCAGUGAACCAGAAAGUGUGAGGUUUGCCAGAACUGAAGAGCGUGUGAAUGGGUUUGUGGAGGUGAGGGACAAACGUGUAUUUUUUUUUUUAAACCUGAAAAACUAGCUUACCUGUGCAUCAUAAUAGGGAUUUUGGAAUUGAGACUAUUGUAGUGGUUGUGGGCUAGAGUCAUUAGAGCAGUGCUGUGCUACUGGGACACUUAUAGGCUACCUCCACACUUACCAUUGCUCAGAAGACAGACAUUCUCUUCUCCCUUUAGCUAAGCCUGCCUGAACUGGAGGGCUUUUGCAUGACUGUGAAGGAAAGAGCUUAAUUCUUCUUUAUGACCUGCUUCAAACAAAGCUACAGCAACCAAAUGGACCGUGCUGUGUGAAACCCAACAUCAUGCUCGUGUGAGUCAAAUAUCCCCCUCUGGUGCUGGAGAGUUCAGCUAAAGAGCAAACAACGGUAAACACCAGCAGCUGAAAGUGGGUGUUCUUUUGCUUUCUUCAUGGCAACAGCCCAGCAGACUGACGGAGAUCAAAAAUUACCUUAUCACCUGGAGGUCUGCAGAGAAGCCAAGAGAUGUUGAAACCUCCACCACCUCCAACAUCAAAGGCUGCAGCAGGUAUCUUUCCAGGUGCUUUUUCACAGCCAGCCUCAGUGAAAGCUCCCAUUCAAAAGGCAGUAACUCGGGAACAUUAGGUGUAGCUUCUGGUGGCUGAACCGGUUAAAGUUACCCUUCAAUGUCACCAGAAUAGCACACUAAAAGGGGAAAUUCAAGGAGGAAAACAAAAAGAGUCCUACCUAGGGGAUUGGCUGCUUUACAGGGGCUGGUAAUGAGAUCAUACUGCCAUGAUUCAAGGUCACAAAUUUGACUUUAGAUAAGGUGUAGCAACAGCCUCAAUCUGUAAUGGUGACUGUUCAGCAGCCUGUGUGACAUUAAUGGGUAGUCUCUUGUAGCCUUUUAAUUUAACAAGGUGAUUGCUAUAAGUUUUGUAAAAAAAUACCUCCAAACACAACUACUAAAAUGAGCUGGCGUGUGAUAGUGAACAACAAAGUUCACUGAAGCCUUUUGUACUGAUGCAUUGAAUGAUGAUGUAUUCACACCACUUUGCUGUUCUUUGUUAGAGCUUUAGGGCAGAGAUGUUAACAAAGGAUGUUCUGUGUAUUUGCAACAUAACAAAAUAAAAGAUUUUUUUUCCAGUAGGGCAUAACUACUAUCACAUAUGACUCUAACUUUAAAUGUGCCAUAAGGUAGCAGCACUGUCCAGAAGCUAGGCCUCUUCUACCUUUCAGCUUGCUGAGAACAACUUGUCUGAAAAGAUGCAGGCUGCUUUCUGCUCUGUACCUUUGUGCAGGGAGAAUUCAGAGUUCCUGGUGCAGUCCCAUCGUGCUGUGCUCGCCUCCUUUAGAGUUCACUGUAUUAAAGAUGAAGGUAUUGGUAACAUUCAAUUUCAGCUUUCAUAUAUAUAUAUUUUACCUAUUGUAAAAUACUUUCAGUACUGCUGUACUGCAGCAGCCUAUUCAUUUAUGUGCUUUUAGGCACCUUUGGGUAACAGAAAUUACACCUAUCAGCAACAAUGGAAUGACAGACCAAAAACAAACCUAUCAAAUCUCUCAUUUCUGUAAAAGCAGGGCGAAAAAAGACUGAAAAUGGUGCCCUCUGCUUUCUGGUGAUCUUAUGCAUUCAUCAACAAGGUGCCCCAAAUCCAUUCUUAACUACGGCUAUAAUCUCGUGUAACAAAGGUACCUCCUGGGUACUGGUGAGAGACUUGUAGGAUGUGUUUAUUAUGAUUAAAUCUCUGAUAAGUUAAUUUUGGUUCUGGCAAAUAUUCCUAUGAUUUGCUCUGGGCAAACAAAAAAGCCACUAUACUUUGUUGCUGUAGGUGCAGUCCUGAUGUCUCAUUCUGUGUAUAAAACAGAGAUUUUUGAAUAUUGGAGAAUCUGCAGCCCAAAAAAGCCUGCUGGGGAGCAGAAGACACACUGGUAGGUGACAAAAACAGAGUUCACUGACUGCAGUUUGCAAAAUGCCAUAGGUUAUUUCUGUUUAUUGCCUGGGAUUGUACAAGAAGAUCAGAAUUUAAGCUUGGACGUUCUUGGAUAUUUUCCCCGUGAGAUUUGCGUCUGCACAGAGAGAAUGUUAUAAUAUGCUUUCUUCUCCUUGGAGAAGGGAUGAUAUCCCCUUGGCAACAUGAGUGAUCACUUAAAUGGAACAAUAACAUUAAGCAAGUGUUUGCAGAUGCCCUUCAGGGUGCUUUAGCAUCUGGAAACAAGAGAAGGAGUGGUAAGCAUUAUAUGGGUAAGCGAUUAGGAAGACAGAAAUGUGCUUGGGAGAGAGACACAUAUUUCAGAAAUGGAAUUAUUCCAUAAAAAGUGUCAAAAACGUACCUUUAAGUGAGCAGUUUGGGAGGAUGUUCUGUAGACUACUUAUGACGUGACUACUGAAUAUGAGGGAUUUGCCCCUUUCUCUGUGGUGUGAGACAUUGUCUGAGAAAAGACUGAUCCGGUUCAGGGUCUGCCCAGACAGGGAAUACCUCAGUCAGUGACUCUCAGUGAAUAACAUUUCUGUGCUCAGUGCCUUUUCCCAGUCUUGGGAGGAAAUGAAUAACAAGUACAGCUACCUUUUUGGCAUCUCUACGUGCAACAAGUUAGGGUAGCGUUUUCAGCUAAGGUUAAGGGGAAAGCUCCAGCAGGAACAAGGAGACUUGUACAGCAACUCUUGGACCCAGUUGCCAUUCAGCUCAGAAAUAGUUCUCUGCAAGGCUUCUGCUAACUUUAACAAUUUGUCCCUUGCACUGGUGGAAGGCUGUCGGGAUCUGUGGGCCCCUGGAUCCAUGGUGGUUAGGUGGAAUUGCACUUCACACAGUGCCAUCCCUUGCAGAAUUAUGGGCUUUAACUCAACUCUGUGGAUUCAUUCCUUGCUACCUCCCCACUGGCCUUUCUGGCUGCCACAAAACUCAGAUUUUCACCUAUGCAAAGUUCAAAGGGGCUGCUCACUGUGAGUUCCACUUUCCAAGGUAGCACUUUCCCUCAGACAAAAGAAUGGAAGGUUGGUGCCUCCAGCAAGGAGCAGAGAAGGGCUGGAGCACAGACCGUACUGCAGUUGAAGAAGGCAAUUACUGUUAUGAGGCCAGAACAAGCAGCUAAAAUAUGGAAGUCAGGCAACUUGGUCAAAUUGGAGUUUGACAUAAAGAACGUGAUAGUGCCAAUUCGAUGUUCUGUUUUUUUUUUCCUUGGUGGAUCAUUUUUUUCCCUGCUUUUCACAUUUUUAUUACUUUUUUUUUUUUUUUUAAACAUGAACUGUUUAGAAGGUCAAAACUUUAAGAGGCAAAACAGGUAGAGAAAUUGCAAAUAAUGUUGGUGCUCUAAUGCCUAUUCCUAAGAACCUGUGAUGUAAAAAGUCUCAGAAGUCGCAGUUCAAGUGUUCUUUGCAUGUCCUCUAUUGCAUGUCAAGCAUGCAGUAUGUCUAUUGCAUAGACCUCUACAUCUAGCUGGUCCUCUAUUGCUUUUGUUUUUAGGAUUCAUGUUUGCAUGUAGUCAAAUUUACAUGAUGUUUUAUGCAUCCAGAAGAGUUAACAUCCUCCCUUUUCUUUCACGUCGAAUGGAUGCUAUGGUUUUAUGUGGGGAUGAGCAACACUUACGACAGAUAAGCUGACAAAACACAGCAAAAUCCUGGGUGUCUGCAACAUCAACAGUUAGGCUGGUGUUUCCAUGUCCCUGCUGAGGAUGGAAAAUGUUUUGCCAUCACUCUUCCUACAUACACAGUCCCAAAGUGUUCAGAAGGGCUACAUUUCUAGUGAAAUGAUCUUCAAGUGUUGUGUUGUCAUGAUAGAGAGAAGAUGGACUCAGUUCUCAGAGACCACAUUACAAUACGGAGCUUGUAGCUGAGCUUCAGUAGGAUGUUUUUAACAGUCUGAUAUCUGGAAAGUCUUUUUUCCUAAGUGGUCAGUUACUGCAAGCAAAAUGACCUUCUCCUCCUUUUGUCAGGAUUAAUUCCUGCAAACCAUACUGUAUUUUUCUCUAUGCUUGUCUGCUAACUAUGUAGAAAGUGCUAAGCAAUCGUGCAUAAUUCAUUACUCUUAAUUAAAAUGUAAAUUUAUUGUCAGCCUUUUGGGGUAAUUAAAGCACCACUGUGAGAAUAGGUUUGUGUUCUGUAUCUUUUGCAAAAAUAAACAAAUAACGUUUUAUGUUCUGCUUGAAGAGGUGCAGUUGAUCACCAAGUGGGACGCAACUGAACUUCCAGAGAAGGUCUGUCAGUUAGCAUAUAUCUAAUAUUCAACAGGGUGUGAAUCUACUUUGCUAUAAAGUGAGCUGUCUUAUUUGCUGCGGAGUUAGAUGCUUGUGUUUCGGUUUUUGGCAUAGAUGGAAAGUAUUAUUUAUAGGUAUACUUCUACAUUCCCCCCCAAAAUCCAGACUAUUUUAUUGGCCUCCAGCUGCUCCUCAGAAGCCUACAGAGAUACAUUCGAUGUAUUGCAGUGCCUACUGUAAACACCCUAUUUACCAGAGCAUUUGCA
ensembl:lncRNA